rnacentral:pre_miRNA from 1 species
AAUAAACUAAUUUUUUAUUUUUUACCUUUAAUUUUUAAUUCUUUGUCUUAUUUAAUUUUUUUUGCAAUUGAUAUUUUUGUUUUUAUUAGAUGAUAAAUCAUGAAUAGUACUUUACGUGUGACUAGUUUUUUUUUAAUUUCCUGAAAAUUUUUUAAAUAAGACGUAUGGUCAAACGUUGGAUACGGAAACCGAAGAAUUCGUUUUUU